GUCGCCCAUAAUUUGAUUUUCCUUUUAUUUUAUAAUUUAGCACCAUUUUAAAUCCAUAUUCUUUUAAAUUUAAAUUAAUUUCAGGGCCGAUUUUUCUGUUUUCUUAAAACCUCACCCAGGCCCUCAUAUACUAGAAAUUAUUCUGACACAAAAUUAACUAAUUGACCUAUUUCAAUGGUAAAGUGAUUUGAUCGGAGGACUUGUGAGUUGCAUCCUCAUCUAUUCUACUUACUGUUUUCAUUUGCCAUGGGGUAGGACAAAAUAAAUCUGUUAUCGAUUUCAUUUUAC
rnacentral:lncRNA from 1 species